UUAAAAGGGUUUCACAGGGGCAAAGGCAAAAGUCCAAGUGACCUUGACCCCAGCUUUUCUUUGCCCUUACACACGCGGCAGCACCCUCGUAGCUGUCCAGAUAGAACAAGUGCUACUUUUAAAUGCCGCGCAUCCGUGAAUUGUAUGUAUUUGAAAUUUCGACUGUACAGGAAGCUUAAUAGAUGCAUGGAUUCUGUAUGAUGACACGUGAAUCUUCAUGUCUGAGCGCAGUCUGGAACAAAAUGGUCGCUGACGCAGAGCCAGCUCAUCUCCGAUUGGCUGCUCGUGCUACACACUAUGGAUGCGCCCGACCCUUCCAGCCGUAUGUCUGGGGGGCUCACGAACAACGUCGUAUCAUUCUUCAAUAAUACACGUGCAUGUCUUCUUGCAUUAUUCAAGGUUAUCAAGGCCCAAGUCACCUUCAACAGCUUUCUAUGAAACUGCCCUGGAAACGGGAUGGAAACAACAACAAAGCAGAGGUGGUCCUGCCAGUUGAUCCGGUCUGUGGAUGAUGGCUUGUGAACAUGACACCGUGACAGGAGGCAGUCCAGGGUUACCUGGACCAUGGCCACAUUAUAAGGGGACGAGAGGAGGGUACCAAAAGCCAUUUCCAUGUCCAGCAUGUGAGUCGUCCACCAUAUUCACGGACUGUCAGGCCCUGUUCCCCCAAGCCUCGAAAACAAGCCCAGAAUGUAGCCCUGGCCAUUUGGUGAGUGACGCCCGUUGCCCGGACAACGCUACUGUGAGACAUGAAAACAGAAUAGCCUAAGGCCCGGGGGUUGCUCGAGUUGUGACUGGAGCACGGGACCUGACCACCUGCUUGUUAAAGAUAGUCCGCUCGCUUGACAGCUCGGGAGAGGUUUCUCUCCAGUGCAACAGACAAAUGUUUCCAUCCAUCGGUGGAGCAUGGCGUUACAAUGCCGACCGCAGACACGAAAAUAUCGUCAUAUAAAAGAAGAUUCCAGAAAUUCUUGAGGUCACAGUACUGGCCUGUUGGCAACAGCAGCACACACCUUUCGCUGUGGCCCUGCGUAUAGCCGACAGUGACCUAGUCUAAAAACGCCAUAAACUCAUAAUCUCUCAUACUACAUCUCCAGCCUCAUUAUGAUCUCACCCGCACCUCGCCCAGAGCGAUAAAAGACCUGGAUUUGACCUGGGUUUGACCUGUGUUUACGAGGGGUGAGGAGACAUCGGAAGAGUUAACUGCAGGUCACAAACUGGAAUAUGUCCGGAGCCACUGUAGGUGAUGAACUGGGGUUAUGGUAAGAAUUGUUUCAAGAUCAAGUGUGUGUAACAUUCUUAGGCUGUUAGUUCUCUUAAAAAUGUGCUGCCCAUUCACAGACUUGUUCUAUUUUAUGAAUAUUAAUGACCACUGUCUAUGUCAAGUAUUCCUAUUUGCUUAAAACAUUAAAAAUGCACAAGAUGCAAUUCCAUCAA